UACAGAGGUCUCAAGCGUUGUUCGGAUUCAUUGGGCGUAAAGGGUGCGUAGGCUGUGGGGUAAGUCUGGUGUGAAAUCCCGAGGCUCAACCCCGGAACUGCACUGGAUACUGCUUUACUAGAGCACUGGAGAGGGAACUGGAAUUUACGGUGUAGCAGUGAAAUGCGUAGAUAUCGUAAGGAAGACCAGUGGCGAAGGCGAGUUCCUGGACAGUUGCUGACGCUGAGGCACGAAGGCCAGGGGAGCAAACGGG
rnacentral:rRNA from 1 species